UACGGGGGGGGCAAGCGUUGUUCGGAAUUACUGGGCGUAAAGCGUGCGCAGGCGGUUCGUUAAGUCAGCUGUGAAAGCCCCGGGCUCAACCUGGGAACUGCGGUUGAAACUGGCGAACUAGAAUCUGGCAGAGGGGGGUGGAAUUCCACGUGUAGCAGUGAAAUGCGUAGAGAUGUGGAGGAACACCGAUGGCGAAGGCAGCCCCCUGGGCUAAGAUUGACGCUCAGGCACGAAAGCGUGGGGAGCAAACAGG
rnacentral:rRNA from 1 species